CAACAAUCGAGCAUUUAAAUGUGUGUAAUUGGUGUAAAGUUUCUUAGUUUUUGUCAUUUCGAAGUUCGCAUUCGCAAUUAAACAUCAAAUAGAUUACAAUUGCUCUUGUGAAAGGGCGAUUUGGUAGUGUAAGAAAUUGAGCAUAUUUGAUCGGAAGUUCGGGGUUUUAAACAAGCAAAACCCCAGAAUCUUACCAGCAACUGAACCUGAAGUAGUCUUCUAACACUGCAGUCUCCGCUUUUGAAUGCAUCAUGCAUACGUGACACACACACUCACACACACAGACACCCGCAAACAUCUCCGAAGCAGUGGUUCUGAUUGGCGCAACCACAGAUAAGUGCACUCCAAAUAGCAUGAUAAAGCAUUUCCCCUUUUCCCGAGCGCACUGCCACAGCACAGCAUCGCAGCAUUGGCAUUGCAUUGGCUUGGCUCCUUCCGAAAGGAAAAUGGAGGAAUUUGUCGAGCAAAACCCAAACUCCGAAGUGCUUCGCAAAUUUACGUUCAGUCGCAAGAAAUGGAUUACGAUAAGUGCUUUAGUGUUUGUUACACUGGCUUACCGGACGAUGCUGAUGAUGAUGAUUUUGAUGAUGCUGGGCGCGCGCGCUGUUGGUGCGAUGCCACAGAGUACAUUGCCACCAUUCAUUGGCCGGAAGUUAAUGCUAAAGGACGAGCAUCUCCCGCACACAUACACACGGUACGGAUGGCAAUGACAAUGUGCGACCCUCCCUCCGCGCCGUGGGAGCGCAAAAACAGGUGGGGGGGAGGACGCGCAGCCCCUGCCUGCGGCCCAAGAAUUCUAGCGUCAUCAAAUGCGGCGUAAACAUCCGGAAAACCAGACACGUAGCAGGUCGUUUGUACUUUCACUUCUGCGGAUAUGAUUACAGAAACCAUAAAUCUUGGAUAUUGCCAUCGGAGGGCGCACACACACAAUGAAGAAACAACGGCGGUAUGUACGGAACACACACACAAACAUACCAAAACCCGGUAAUGGGACACAAGAGGACGUACACGCCUAGAGCACUGUUGGUGGCGGUGGUGGUGUUGGUGGUUGGCGCACGCCUGCCUGUGCCUGUAUGCCCCUUGGCGGCCAAACUACGGGGACCGAAAUUUAUCCCACCUUCGAGUGUGUGACUUUCUGCUGCUGCUGCUGCUGCUGCUUGCCGCAAAGUCACCACAU